rnacentral:rRNA from 1 species
AUUAAACGCUGGCGGCAUGCCUUACACAUGCAAGUCGAACGGCAGCACGGGGGCAACCUUGGUGGCGAGUGGCGAACGGGUGAGUAAAGCAUCGGAACGUGCCCUGGAGUGGGGGAUAACGUAGCGAAAGUUACGCUAAUACCGCAUAUUCUGUGAGUAGGAAAGCAGGGGAUCGCAAGACCUUGCGCUCUGGGAGCGGCCGAUGUCGGAUUAGCUAGUUGGUGGGGUAAAGGCCUACCAAGGCGACGAUCCGUAGCGGGUCUGAGAGGAUGAUCCGCCACACUGGGACUGAGACACGGCCCAGACUCCUACGGGAGGCAGCAGUGGGGAAUUUUGGACAAUGGGCGAAAGCCUGAUCCAGCCAUGCCGCGUGAGUGAAGAAGGCC